ACACAUGUUUUCUAGGGUUCCGCGGCAGAAUGAAGGCUGUUGGUCUGGUCCAAGAGAAGACACACGAUGGCGCUUCAUCGUGCACACGGAGGGAUAAAAGCCCGGGAGGA
rnacentral:sRNA from 1 species